AUGGCCCUACCCACCAGGUUGCACCUGAAGGCAGCAGGACCGCCUGUGGGAGGAGCCUCCAAUGACCCAGGGUCAGAAGACAAGCAGGAAGCAGCCCGGGUGCCCAUCGGCUCUCUGGUGCCCCCUGAGGGCGCAGGACUGCAGCACGGCCGCGCGGGGGCAGCAGACACCGGGGCGCGCCCUGGCACCCCGCGCGAGUGGGUGGAGAGUUCCCAAUGGCGUGUUGUGUCUGAGAUCCCGGUGCUGAAGACAAAUGCCGGACCCCGAGAUCGGGAGUUCUGGGUGCAGUGACUGAAGGAGGAAUAUCAGUCCCUUGUCUGGCAUGUGGAGAACAACAAGGAUGCUGGCAACCCUUGGUUGCGACUGGAGUCCAACGAGGAAGGGACUCGGUGGUUUGGAAAAUGCCGGUGUAUCCAUGACCUCUCGAAAUACGAGUUUGAAGUCGAGUCUGACAUUCCUAACACAUACCCUACUACUGCCCCAGAAAUCGCAGUCCCUGAGCUUGAUGGAAAGACAGCAAAGAUGUACAGGGGUGGAAAAAUAUGCCUGACGGAUCACUUCAAACCUUUGUGGGCCAGGAACGUGCCCAAAUUUGGACUAGCUCAUCUCAUGGCUCUGGGGCUGGGUCCAUGGCUGGCAGUGGAAAUCCCUGAUCUGAUUCAGAAGGGCAUCAUCGAACACAAAGAGAAAUGCUACUAAUGAAGGAUCAAGCCACUGAGGCAGGGCAGAGGGACCUUUGAUCGGCUAUGAUCCUGUUUUCCUGUGCAUCACGCUUAACUCACCCAGCUGCGUCCCAAACACACUCCACCUCUAGUUGUUACUAAGUAGCUGCAGCAGGCAUUGCUGGGGAGAAGCAAACACCAAACAGCGUCCUACUUAGUUUCUAAGGCUGCACGGGAAGGGAAAGACUGGGCUUUGGAAAAUCUAGAGGCAAUUUAUAUCCGCCCCAGGUGGAGCAACAUGCCAUCCUGGAGGCAUAGGGCGUAACUGAAAGUGAGUACAC